GAAAAGGCACGAGAUCGGUCUCUUUAUGGGCUCAUCGAGUGAUGCUGGGAGAAGACAGAGUGUUUCCCUGCUUACCCGAGCCGAGACGUUUCCAAUACUGUUUCAGGGUGUUGUUUUUGUUUUUGUUUUUGGUUUUGUUUUUCCAUUAUAUUCCCCUUUACUACAUUUCCCUUUAACUGCGUGUCCCGCUAAUCUUUUCCUCCAGAUUCACAUAAUUCAACCCAACGCAUUUCCAAGACGAUUCCCAGCGUUACCAGACUCUGUGCUCGGGAAACCUGAGCAGCCCCGAGUGUAACAGGAAACGGCGUUAGCAUGAGAGAAUGGGGUCUGCUAUUGAGAUCCUGACCGUAAUUCACAGC
ensembl:lncRNA